rnacentral:rRNA from 1 species
UACAGAGGUCCCAAGCGUUGUUCGGAAUCACUGGGCGUAAAGGGUGCGUAGGCGGCGCGGAAAGUCAGGGGUGAAAUCCCGGAGCUCAACUCCGGAACUGCCUUUGAUACUCCCGCGCUUGAGAACUGGAGGGGAGACCGGAAUUCACGGUGGAGCAGUGAAAUGCGUGGAUAUCGUGAGGAACACUAGUGGCGAAGGCGGGUCUCUGGACAGUAUCUGACGCUGAGGCACGAAGGCCAGGGGAGCGAACCGG